rnacentral:rRNA from 1 species
UACGUGAGUGGCGAGCGUUAUCCGGAAUUACUGGGCGUAAAGGGCGUGUAGGUGGUAAUAUAAGUCAUAUGUGAAAUAACUUAGCUCAACUAAGUGAUAGCGUAUGAAACUGUAUAACUAGAGUAUAGGAUAGGAAGAUGGAAUUAUUACUGUAGCGGUGGAAUGCGUAGAUAGUAAUAGGAAGGCCAACGACGAAGGUAAUCUUCUGGACUAAUACUGACACUGAGGCGCGAAAGCUAGGGGAGCAAACAGG